rnacentral:rRNA from 1 species
GACGAACGCUGGCGGCGUGCUUAACACAUGCAAGUCGAACGGAAAGGCCCUGCUUUUGUGGGGUGCUCGAGUGGCGAACGGGUGAGUAACACGUGAGUAACCUGCCCUUGACUUUGGGAUAACUUCAGGAAACUGGGGCUAAUACCGGAUAGGAGCUCCUGCUGCAUGGUGGGGGUUGGAAAGUUUCGGCGGUUGGGGAUGGACUCGCGGCUUAUCAGCUUGUUGGUGGGGUAGUGACUUACCAAGGCUUUGACGGGUAGCCGGCCUGAGAGGGUGACCGGCCACAUUGGGACUGAGAUACGGCGCAGACUCCUACGGGAGGCAGCAGUGGGGAAUAUUGCACAAUGGGCGGAAGCCUGAUGCAGCAACGCCGCGUGCGGGAAGACGGCCUUCGGGUUGUAAACCGCUUUCGCCUGUGACGAAGCGUGAGUGACGGUAAUGGGUAAAGAAGCACCGGCUAACUACGUG